UCCAGCGUAGCUCAAUCCAGUAGAGCAGCCGCCUUGUAAGCGGCAGGUUGCGGGUGCAGAUCCCGCCGCUGGAU
rnacentral:tRNA from 2 species